rnacentral:lncRNA from 13 species
CACAUUAGGUAUGCAUUUGGUACCUAUGUGUUUUACACAUAUGCACAUACAGAUUUAUCAUGGUAACAUAACUACACGUGUACAAAUAUGUGCUCACUAUUUUAACUAUGUACACACGAAAAUAUAGAUACAAACUCUGGACCUAUGCAGAGGCAUGCUAUUUCCACAGCCCACAUCGCAGCAUUUCCCACUCGCCCUCUGGAUGCUUACGGACACCCGGGCUUUGAGGCUGUGCCCACAGCUGCCACCAGAGGGUCUAUAAGAGCACCCAGGCCCACCCUGGCUACCUCCGGAUGCCAUGGCUAGAAAGCUGUGCCCACAUCCCCACCAGAGGUCCUGUAGCAGCUCGCCAGCCCACUCUGGCAACUUAGGGACACUCUGGAUUAAGGGCGUUUUCUGAUACAUUCCCAGAAAGCAUGUAGCAGACCCAAGUCCAACCCUGCAGCUUAGGGACACAUUAACUAGGUGACUGUGCCCAGAGCACCCACCAGAGGGCCCGAAGUAAAUCCCAGGUGCACCAUGGCUGCUUAGGGACACGCUGGCUAUGUGGCUGUCCUAACAGGCUCCACUAGCGUGCCUGUAGCAGCCCAGUAGCUUAGAAUGGCUGCUUAAGGAAACCCUGGAUAGAGCACUGUGCCCACAGUCCCCACCAACGAGCCCGUAGCAGGCCCAAGGCACACCAUCAUAGCUUUGGGACCCCUGGUUUGUUGGCUCUGCUCACCGCUGCUGGGGCCAAGCUAUUUAAGACAUGUGGUUUAAUAUGAUACUGGCGACCAUAUCAUACAGAAAUGAUAGUGUUAUUCUCUUUUGCUAUAUAUGAGGCAGUAGUUAUAGUUACACCUCUGCUAUAUUGACAAAUUUGCCAUCCUCAAAUCCCUUGACAUGAGAAUUGAAAGCAUAGGGGAGUUUCACCCCUUGCAAUGUUUAAUUCAAUAUAACUGUUUUCUUGUUUACAUUAGUGACCCUAUCACAGCAUUCUGUAUACCUCUUGCCAUAUUCAGAAUACUUCCCUAUGAGCCGCAACAUUUUCCUCUCCUCUGGAUGUUAGGAACUAUAUCCCAGGACCGGCCUACAACCCCAGUCACAUCUGACCCUAUAAGAACAUGCUGUACACCUCUUGCCAUAUUCAGAGUACUUCCCUAUAAGCCGCAACAUUUUCCUCUCCUCCUCUGGAUGUUAGGAACAAUAUCCCAGGACCGGCCUACAACCCCAGUCACAUCGUAUUGGUAGGAGGAUGCUGGCUCCCAAGACUGUGUCAGGGAGCAGUCUCUUCUCCUCAAGUUUUGUGAAUCAUUUCAGCAAGAAGGUAUCUAGCUGUUAUUUGUACAUCUGGUAGAAUUCAGCUGUGAAUUUGUGUGGUCCUACGCUGCUUUUUGGUUGGUAAGGUAUCAAUUAGCUGGUCGUGCUAGUGCACACCUGUAAUCCCAGCUACUCAGGAGUCUGAGGCAGGAGAACCGCUUGAAGCUGGGAGGUAGAGGUUGCAAUGAGCCAAGAUCGAGCCACUGCACUGCAGCCUGGGUGACAGAGUGAGACUUCAUCCAAAAAAAACAAAAAAAGGAAAAUAGAAAAAAGAAUAGAAGUUUUUUGGCUUGGAGGCUGAGGAGUCUAAGAUCAAGCGACCACAACUUGUGAGGGCCUUCUUGCAGUGCCAUACCAUAGCAGAGGGACAAGCGUGCACAGGACAGAGAGUGGAUGGAAACAACUCACCUUUUAUCAGAAGCCCACUCCCUGAAUAACCCAACCUACUUUCCAGAUACCAACAUUAAUCCAUUCAUGAGGGCAGAGGCCUCAUGACCUAAUCAACUCCUAAAGGCCCUAUCUCUUCUAUUCUUUCCUUUUCUUCUCCCCUCCCCUCCCCUCCCCUCCCCUCCCCUCCCCUUCUCUUUUCUUUUAGAUGGAGUUUUGCUUUUGUUUCCCUCCGGCUGGAGUGCAAUGGCAUGAUCUCGGCUAACUGCAAACUUCACCUCUAGGAUUCAAGUGAUUCUACUGCUUCAGCCACCCAGGUAGCUGGGAUUACAGGUGCCCAAGAUCACGCCUGGGUAAUUUUUGUGUUUUUAGUAGAGAUGGGUGUUGGCCAGGCUGUUCUUGAAUUCCUGACCUCAGGUGAUCCACCCACCUCAACCUUCCAAAGUGCUGGGAUUACAGAAUGAGCCACUGUGCCGGGCCAGGUCUCACCUCUUAAUGCCAUCACAAUGGCAAACUUCAACAUGAGUUUUGGAGGCAUUCAAACCACAGCACUUACCUUGCCUUGUUCUUCUGAAUCUCUUGGGAUGUCUUCCAAAAUUGCUUCAUUUCUUUGUGGAAGGGGUAAAAGCAAAUAGUUGUGGUUUAUCAUCAAACAUCAGAAGUCAGAAUGGUUUAUUUCCUUUUCCUUCUUUUUUUUUGUCAGGAGGGUUAUUGCUUACUGAAACCUGAACUGAUUUCACAGAACCCAGAGUAACUCUAAAUUAACCUAGGAUUUAAUUUGUUCAACUUUUCUUUUAUCCUCCCUUCCCUUUCAUCAAUGCUUGACAUGCUCACUCUUGGAACAGUUUUUCCUAACCCACUUUCAAGGCCCAACAGAGCAUAGGAGGAGCCAGAGAAUGUUUAUAUUUGACCCCAACACCUCUGAAGGUGCAAUCUCAGCUCACUGCAACCUCCAUCUCCCAGGCUAAAGCAUUUCUCCUGUCUCAGACUCCUGAGUAGCUGGGAUUACAGGCGCUUGCAACCACACUCAGCCAGUUUUUGUAUUUUUAGUAGAGACAUGGUUUUACCAUGUUUGUCAGGCUGUUCUCAAAUUCCUGACCUCGUGAUCCACCCACCUCUACCUCCCAAAGUUUUGGGAUUACAAGUGUGAGCCACCUUACCUGGCCCUCUAUUAAUCUAAACAUUUUAAAUAAAUAAAACAUUUGUUAGGCA